ACAAGAAGAAGAGAAAAUGAGCUCCCUAAUAGCUCUCAUCUUCUCGGAUGAACUAGAGCCCCUUAUGUUCCAAGUUAUAACAAUCAUAUUAUAUGAAUAUCCAUUAUAUAAAAGAAUUCUCUGAAGGCUAUCACAGCAACAUAAUUUAGAGUAGGGACAUCCAUAACAACCAUGGAGAGAAAAAGAUAUUUAGAUCGGUAUCGCAAG
rnacentral:lncRNA from 1 species